UGGGGAAUAUUGGACAAUGGGCGAAAGCCUGAUCCAGCCAUGCCGCGUGUGUGAAGAAGGUCUUCGGAUUGUAAAGCACUUUAAGUUGGGAGGAAGGGCAGUAAGCGAAUACCUUGCUGUUUUGACGUUACCGACAGAAUAAGCACCGGCUAACUCUGUGCCAGCAGCCGCGGUAAUACAGAGGGUGCAAGCGUUAAUCGGAUUUACUGGGCGUAAAGCGUGCGUAGGCGGCUAAUUGAGUCGGAUGUGAAAUCCCCGAGCUUAACUUGGGAAUUGCAUCCAAAACUGGCGAGCUAGAGUAGGGCAGAGGGUGGUGGAAUUUCCUGUGUAGCGGUGAAAUGCGUAGAUAUAGGAAGGAACACCAGUGGCGAAGGCGACCACCUGGGCUCAUACUGACACUGAGGUGCGAAAGCGUGGGGAGCAAACAGG
rnacentral:rRNA from 1 species